rnacentral:lncRNA from 1 species
AAAUUUGAACUAUGAUAAUAUUUUUUUGUUUCUGUUGUUCUAAAUCCAACCAAUGUGAACAAAAACAGACAGACAAAGAACAUAAAACUAUAUAUUUCAUAAACAUUGACGUCUGUAAUAAAAAUUAUUUACACUCAGUACAGCCUGUCAUACUUGCAAAGUAUACCAAUUUGUGCAUAGAAAUAAAGACCAAUUGUAUAUUUAUAAAAUGGUUACAGUGUCAAUUAUUCUCUUUGCCACUAAUAUCAUUCCUAAAAUAUUAGAUCAAAGUCUAUAAAUACUAGAUUUAUAUUAGAACAUUU